GGCGGGGCUGGGCGAGAAUGUGGCCGUGUGGGGCGAGGACCUGGGAGUUGGUGUCCGACGCCGCCCCAGGCUCAGGCUUCCAGGACCUCCCGCCCGGGCCCAGUUUGCCAGCCAUCAAGAGGAAAUGGAUCCUGGCUUUGUUUCUCCAAAAUCCUUGAAAGAGGCUGGGGGAAGGGUCGGGACCGUCCCAACCCACCUCAUCCCUCAGCCUAGGCUGGACCCCCUCCCUAAACCAGCGGCUUUUCACCCCGCCCUCCACAAUCCCACGAGGGGCUUCCCUGGGGUGAAAUUAGGCUGCUUCCCGGGAAUUUCCUCCCCCAUGCUGUCCACGGCCACUAGGGACUACAAAACCUAGGGAGCUCUGCCUGCUUUCAAGGCCCCAUUCCCAAGGCUGUGCUCAACAGUGACGCUUCUAUUUUAUUAUCAGUUAUUGCUGUUAAUCUCUUACUGUGCCUAACAAAUUAAACUUUAUCGCAGGCCUUUUCUACCUAUAAAACCCACCUCCUCUGCCCAGCUCAUUGGAGUACCGUUUCUAAAUUUUUAGAGAAGAUGCCAUCCUGAUUCGUGAAUCAAUAAAAGCCAAUAGAUCUUUAA